rnacentral:tRNA from 1 species
ACAUGGCUUCAUGGUAGAGCACUUGCCUAGUGUGCAUGAGGCCCUGGGUUCAAUCCUAAGCACUGUG